AUGCAGCUGACGAGUCCUAAAUCGGACGAAAUGCUUGUCCUAGAU
rnacentral:hammerhead_ribozyme from 1 species